GGGUUGUGAGGUUAAGCGACUAAGCGUACACGGUGGAUGCCCUGGCAGUCAGAGGCGAUGAAGGACGUGCUAAUCUGCGAAAAGCGCCGGCGAGGUGAUAUGAACCUUUGACCCGGCGAUGUCCGAAUGGGGAAACCCAGUGCAAUUCGUUGCACUAUCGUUAACUGAAUACAUAGGUUAACGAGGCGAACCGGGGGAACUGAAACAUCUAAGUACCCCGAGGAAAAGAAAUCAACCGAGAUUCCCCCAGUAGCGGCGAGCGAACGGGGAGCAGCCCAGAGUCUGAAUCAGCGUGUGUGUUAGUGGAAGCGUCUGGAAAGUCGCACGAUACAGGGUGAAAGUCCCGUACACGAAAGCACACAGGCUGUGAACUCGAAGAGUAGGGCGGGACACGUGGUAUCCUGUCUGAAUAUGGGGGGACCAUCCUCCAAGGCUAAAUACUCCUGACUGACCGAUAGUGAACCAGUACCGUGAGGGAAAGGCGAAAAGAACCCCGGCGAGGGGAGUGAAAAAGAACCUGAAACCGUGUACGUACAAGCAGUGGGAGC
rnacentral:rRNA from 1 species